rnacentral:rRNA from 1 species
CUACGGGCGGCUGCAGUGAGGAAUAUUGCACAAUGGGGGAAACCCUGAUGCAGCAACGCCGCGUGGAGGAUGACGCAUUUCGGUGUGUAAACUCCUUUUAUGAGUCAAGAAAAUGACGGUAGCUCAUGAAUAAGCACCGGCUAACUCCGUGCCAGCAGCCGCGGUAAUACGGAGGGUGCAAGCGUUACUCGGAAUCACUGGGCGUAAAGGACGCGUAGGCGGGCUUGUAAGUCAGGUGUGAAAUCCUACAGCUUAACUGUAGAACUGCACUUGAAACUACGAGCCUAGAGUAUGGGAGGGGCAGAUGGAAUUAGUGGUGUAGGGGUAAAAUCCGUAGAUAUCACUAGGAAUACCGAAAGCGAAGGCGAUCUGCUGGAACAUUACUGACGCUAAGGCGUGAAAGCGUGGGGAGCAAACGGGAUUAGAUACCCCGGUAGUC